UCCAUAAGUGUAACAACAGGAACUGCGUGAGUUGGCAAAAGAUCCUCCAAGCGUUGGGGCAGAACAGAAAAAGAAGUGAGCAGAUCCUUAACAAAAGACAUUUCAGCUUCCUUGCUGCACAAGAACUCUGCCAACAGAAGUAUGUGUGAGAAUCCCUGGGGCGAAAACAGCCUUCUGCAAGCAUUGGCUGAAUUAUUUACAGCAAAAGACAGAAAAAAAGGAGAGGGGAAGGAAAAAAAAUAAAAAGAGAGAGUAAGAGCAUGCUUCAUAGGAACACCAGGCACUUCUAAAAAUAGAGCAUGACCUCAUUCUUCACAUUAUGCCAGACCUUAACAUCGUGCUUUCCUUUAUCACCUGGAGCACCUGGAGUCAGGUUCCUGCUGCUAGAGUUUGGCUGCUGUCAGAUUUUGAAAAGCUCCUGAAAGAGAAAUGACAUAAGACAACCACUUCUCACUCUACAAAUUAGGCACAGGAGCUGACUUCAAGGACCAGCCCCUUCAGCGGAGCACACCAAUCGGGAGACCCCGGGAGCACAUGAGGAAUGCUGCCUGCCCGCACGCCGGUCACGGCCACGGGCAGCAUCUGCUCUGCG